UUCAUUUGGAUACAAAAAAUAUUGAUGGCAAUGACAAUAUUGUAAAUACUUGGUGUAAAUGAAGAUGAUAAGGUAAAAGAAUCAUUUAAAAAAAAAGAAAUAAAAAAAAUGUAAUGGCAUUUUCGUGAAUAACUCGAACUUCUAGGUUGAAUAGGAAAAAAAAGUUUCAAGAAAAAACAUGGAUUAUUUUUGUGUUUGACUUGAAAUUUUAGAUCAUAUUUGAACAAAAACCUAAAUCUGUACUCAGAUGUAUGCGUUUGAUUAUGUCAAUGUCUCAAAACUAAGUUGUAAGAGUUCUUUUUUUCUGUAACACGAGUUAUAAGAGUUAAUGAAGAUUCUAAGAAGGAUCCGAUGAUUCUCGUGAUAGGCGGUCAACUGAAAUCAGCUCUUGAGCCAGAU
rnacentral:lncRNA from 1 species